CGUGGGUUGGCAGAGUGGUCUAUUGCACUCGACUGAUAAUUGAGCAAACGUUCCUACGCGUUUCGCGGGUUCGAAUCCCGCACCCACGG
rnacentral:tRNA from 1 species